UUUGAAGUGGCAGAAAAGUGCGAGAAAUUUAAGCUUUCUAUAUGACUCGGUCCUUUAAUA
rnacentral:tRNA from 1 species